rnacentral:rRNA from 1 species
GAUGAACGCUGGCGGCGUGCCUAAUACAUGCAAGUCGAGCGAACAGACGAGGAGCUUGCUCCUCUGACGUUAGCGGCGGACGGGUGAGUAACACGUGGAUAACCUACCUAUAAGACUGGGAUAACUUCGGGAAACCGGAGCUAAUACCGGAUAAUAUAUUGAACCUCAUGGUUCAAUAGUGAAAGACGGUUUUGCUGUCACUUAUAGAUGGAUCCGCGCCGCAUUAGCUAGUUGGUAAGGUAACGGCUUACCAAGGCGACGAUGCGUAGCCGACCUGAGAGGGUGAUCGGCCACACUGGAACUGAGACACGGUCCAGACUCAGACGGGAGGCAGCAGUAGGGAAUCUUCCGCAAUGGGCGAAAGCCUGACGGAGCAACGCCGCGUGAGUGAUGAAGGUCUUCGGAUCGUAAAACUCUGUUAUUAGGGAAGAACAAAUGUGUAAGUAACUAUGCACGUCUUGACGGUACCUAAUCAGAAAGCCACGGCUAACUACGUG